CCUACGUGUGGCAGCAGUGAGGAAUAUUGGUCAAUGGGCGCGAGCCUGCACCAGCCAAGUAGCGUGAAGGAUGCCUGCCCUACGGGUUGUCAACUUCUUUUAUAAAGGAAUAAAGUGAGGCACGUGUGCCUUUUUGUAUGUACUUUAUGAAUAAGGAUCGGCUAACUCCGUGCCAGCAGCCGCGGUCAUACGGAGGAUCCAAGCGUUCUCCGGAUUUAUUGGGUUUAAAGGGAGCGUAGAUGGGUUGUUAAGUCAGUUGUGAAAGUUUGCGGCUAAACCGUAAAAUUGCAAUUGAUACUGGCAGGCUUGAGUACAGUUGAGGUAGGCGGAAUUCGUGGUGUAGCGGUGAAAUGCUUAGAUAUCACGAAGAACUCCGAUUGCGAAGGCAGCUUACUAAACUGCCACUGACAUUGAUGCUCGAGAGUGUGGGUAUCAAACAGGAUUAGAUACCCUUGUAGUC
rnacentral:rRNA from 1 species